rnacentral:rRNA from 1 species
GAUUAGAGUUUGAUCCUGGCUCAGGAUUAACGCUAGCGGCAGGCCUAAUACAUGCAAGUCGAACGGCAGCGGGUGUAGCAAUACAUGCCGGCGAGUGGCGCACGGGUGCGUAACGCGUAUGCAAUCUACCUGUAACUGGGGAAUAGCCUUCCGAAAGGAAGAUUAAUACCGCAUAAUAUCACGAUUCGGCAUCGUUUUGUGAUCAAAACUCCGGUGGUUACAGAUGAGCAUGCGUGACAUUAGCUAGUUGGUGAGGUAACGGCUCACCAAGGCGACGAUGUCUAGGGGGUCUGAGAGGAUGAUCCCCCACACUGGUACUGAGACACGGACCAGACUCCUACGGGAGGCAGCAGUAAGGAAUAUUGGACAAUGGCCGCAAGGCUGAUCCAGCCAUGCCGCGUGCAGGAUGACGGUGCUCUGCAUUGUAAACUGCUUUUGUUCGGGAAUAAACCCUUUCACGUGUGAGAGGUUGAAUGUACCGAAAGAAUAA